rnacentral:lncRNA from 1 species
CCUCUCCCCAUUUCCACGGCCGAAUUCAUCAUUCAUAUAAUUUCACAUUUGAUAAGCACUGAAGCAUUCAGACAGAGCCUCUCAAAGAAUGAGGACUAAAGAAGAACAUAACAUGAUAGUGUAAAAAAAAGUGAAUUGAAUCCAUUAAGAAGAGCCAUUUAAAGACUUCCAACCACUGCGAUUCUUAUUAGUCCCUCAUCAUUUAAACCCAUUUUUAAUCAAGCCUAAAUUUUACUCAAUCUUAAAAUGGCACAAGACAAACUAGCAAGACACUUAAUUAAUAUGGAGAGACAAGACCCAACAAACAGAGAAUAGACAUACAAUUCACACAAUGCAAGAACUUUAAGAUUUCACAUGACAACAUGUUACCACCAUAAACUUUACUUAUGAAUAUGCAUACUGCAACAUGAGAAAUCAAAUGAAGGGUUAUGAACUUGAAUAUGGGACACAUUUGACAUUGUUCAUUUACACUAGGUGACCACUUAACAAGAAUCUCAAAUUCAUGUUCUUAUGGAUAUUACUUUGAAAUCUGCAAAUUCACCAAUGAAACUCAUUUUUUCAAAGAAACGUGUCAAGCACCGACACUGAAUGUUAACAUGCCAUAGAACUUUAUUCUGGAAGAAAGACACUCAAUUAAUUCAAUCGAAAUUAAGUUCAGCAUCGAAGGAAACUGACAGACAUAUUCAACUCAGAUAACAGGUAAAAGUCCGCUUGAAGAUACCCUUAAUAAAUUAGCAGAUCGCAGUGGUAAUAGACUAGUUCUGGAACAAACAUAGUAAUCCAUUUUUGCUUAGAAAGUCCACAAAGGGCUGACCAUGAGUUUAAUUCACAUAAACCAUGAAACCAUCUUUUGAAUUCUAUAAAAUUAGUCAACAUGAAGUGUUAUAUGAACGUUAAUUAAAAUGAACUGAAGUAAUAACUCAAUCUAAACGCGGCAUGAAACAGUCUUCAAAAGAAAUAUAGCAAUUGCAUUUGCGAAUUUCGACAAUAGGAAUUAUUUGUUCACAUAAACUAAAUGAAAGAACACACCUCCAAAUCACUAAAGCCUUAAACGAACCCAUCAGAGAAGUAUGAAGAAAGGGGCAACAUAUAUUGUGACAUGAAGUAAACAGGGAAAGAACUAACAGAUUCUUGACAUCACCUAGAUUUAAACUCAUCUUUUAAUGGCUCCUCCAAGGCUUCAAUUCAUCAUUAUAACAGUAAAAGAAUAGAAGAAGAUGAGACGAACCUGAAUGCAAAAAGUUUUAAUUAAUUCUGGAAGUCGAAUACAAUGGAAUGCGGCAACAAGAUUAAGCAGAAACUGCAGCUAUAACUCGAACUGAAACUGGAUUGAAUUUUCUUGGCGCGAAUGGAACCGCAAAUGAACCUCGAUUUGAAAGCAAUGAACAGCUCGAACGAUCUCGACUCCACGGCAAACCUCAAUCAAACUCCAUCUUGAAAUCCAAAAUCGAAAUGGAAAGAAGUAACAGAAAUAUUAUGUAUUUUUUUCUGAUUUGUUUUUGCAAUGAAAGUAAAAGAAACAGAAGCAAACCAAGGAAAAGGAACAAAAAUCCCUGAAAACCCUAGCCCUCUUCUUUUUCCCAAUUUUUCUCUGAUUUUUUCCCUCUUCAAGACUGUCCGAAAACUUCCAAAUAUAUAUCCCCUCCCGAAUCUUCUUCUCCUCUUCUCCAAGAAAAUCGAUUUUUUAUCUCCAAAAUCUGAAAAAUCCCCUAAAAAUCCGAAAGCCUUUUUCGUGUAAACGGGUUUUAGGUAAAUGGACGCUUAGUAUCCAAAGAUCUCGAUCCUAUGGCUCCCAUUUAACAAUCAUCCAUUUAUGAAUGGCUCAGAUUCUUCAAAGAAAUUGAGAAGAGCGCAUGAGAUGAGAAGAAAACGCGUUAAAAUCAGACGCUAAUAAUGAGGGGGGACCAUGAGGGGAUCAUGUGAGUUAACUCGCCGGGUUUGGACGAGUUCCGGUGAGUUUGGGGUGGUAGGCGCGCGGGCAUAGGUGUGUUGGAGAGGGUUAGGCGCCGUUUGGU